UACGGAGGAUGCAAGCGUUAUCCGGAAUUAUUGGGCGUAAAGGGCUCGUAGGCGGUUUGUCGCGUCGGGAGUGAAAACACCGGGCUUAACUCGGUGCUUGCUUUCGAUACGGGCAGACUAGAGGCAUGCAGGGGAGAACGGAAUUCCUGGUGUAGCGGUGAAAUGCGCAGAUAUCAGGAGGAACACCGGUGGCGAAGGCGGCAUCCUGGACCGACAUUGACGCUGAACGGCGAAAGCUAGGGGAGCAAACGGG
rnacentral:rRNA from 1 species